GGCGAGGUAGCUCAGUUGGUUAGAGCGUCGGAUUCAUAACCCGGAGGUCAGGGGUUCAACUCCCCUCCUCGCUACUA
rnacentral:tRNA from 2 species